AUCUUAGGUGUUCGUUAAUCUGCAUGUUCUUCAGGCCGUACCUGUUAUCCAUGCCCUCCACGAACUCAGUCGCGGGAACAAGAGUACGGGUAUCGCCUCCAGCCGUAAACAUCCAUUGCUUAAAGAGUUCGGCUGCUUUCAAAACGGUUGCUUGAUCUAUUUCAGUCAUUUUGAUCUCUCCUAAGUGAAUUAAUACUUUCAUUGAAAACGAUUAAACUAUUGUGUUAUACGUAUAUCAAGUUCACAUUUCAACUUUCUACAUAGGUAUCUCCUUUCAUAUUCUUUCCAUUGUCAAAUUGAUUUAUUGAAGCCGUUCGCUGCGCAUGACAAUGGAAAGCGCAAAUAGGAUCAAGAAUCCCAUCACCAGAAGAACAGGG
rnacentral:misc_RNA from 1 species